AAUUGCAUUUUCAUUGCAGACUCGUGAAGAAAACUCCAUGAAGAUCGACCAUUCUAAGGCUUGAAUUUGAGUCACCCUGUGCCUGCCCAUCUCGUGUGUUUUUCGGUCUCUUAAUUUCACUAAUUGAACAUUUGAUUUGGGUUCAUUUCCAAUCAUUUCCUUGCUUGAUGUUUCCGCUCCAUGCAGUUUUACUUCUGAUUAAGUCUGGGCAAAGAUGGUAGUAUCGGCGGUAAAGCUCAAGCAUAUCCUUGCUGACUCAACCGGAACAACUGCCCGAACUACCCGCUCCAGAUGAGCAGCGUCUUCGCGAAGCUGCUGCAGUUUUGCAACAACGUUUGGUGCUCCGCCACUGGCUGGCCAGGCACGGACUGCAGGCAUAUUUAUCCCGGCUACUAGCAGUGGGAAUCGCACAAUUAGACGACGCCUAUUGGCUGGAGGAUAACAAAGCGACCCAGGUCUUCACCAAGGACUUGACCGAAUGGUCGGCCGCUCGUCAAUCGUUGCCCACUUCGAAAUCUGAUUUGGACAUUUUAAAGGCGGAUCUCUGGUCGGAAGUGGUGAAAAACAGCCAUCAUCAGGACGCAUGGACAUGGGGUGGUAUGUUGGUUGUAUCAGUAUCAGUAGCAGGCCUGGUUACAUUAGCCGCAAUGACACAACCGUCUUUAGCCCCGGAAGCCAAGCAUUCCUUAUUGCAGUAUGUGACUGGAAAGUACCUUCACCCAUCCAACUG
rnacentral:lncRNA from 1 species